rnacentral:rRNA from 1 species
GUUAGCGGCGGACGGGUGAGUAACACGUGGGUAACCUGCCCAUAAGACUGGGAUAACUCCGGGAAACCGGGGCUUAAUACCGGAUAACAUUUUGAACUGCAUGGUUCGAAAUUGAAAGGCGGCUUCGGCUGUCACUUAUGGAUGGACCCGCGUCGCAUUAGCUAGUUGGUGAGGUAACGGCUCACCAAGGCAACGAUGCGUAGCCGACCUGAGAGGGUGAUCGGCCACACUGGGACUGAGACACGGCCCAGACUCCUACGGGAGGCAGCAGUAGGGAAUCUUCCGCAAUGGACGAAAGUCUGACGGAGCAACGCCGCGUGAGUGAUGAAGGCUUUCGGGUCGUAAAACUCUGUUGUUAGGGAAGAACAAGUGCUAGUUGAAUAAGCUGGCACCUUGACGGUACCUAACCAGAAAGCCACGGCUAACUACGUGCCAGCAGCCGCGGUAAUACGUAGGUGGCAAGCGUUAUCCGGAAUUAUUGGGCGUAAAGCGCGCGCAGGUGGUUUCUUAAGUCUGAUGUGAAAGCCCACGGCUCAACCGUGGAGGGUCAUUGGAAACUGGGAGACUUGAGUGCAGAAGAGGAAAGUGGAAUUCCAUGUGUAGCGGUGAAAUGCGUAGAGAUAUGGAGGAACACCAGUGGCGAAGGCGACUUUCUGGUCUGUAACUGACACUGAGGCGCGAAAGCGUGGGGGAGCAAACAGGAUUAGAUACCCUGGUAGUCCACGCCGUAAACGAUGAGUG